UCUUGGUCAAUUUAGAGGAAGUAAAAGUCGUAACAAGGUCUCCGUUGGUGAACCAGCGGAGGGAUCAUUACCGAGUUUACAACUCCCAAACCCCUGUGAACAUACCCAUUGUUGCUUCGGCGGGAUCGCCCCGGCGCCCUCGGGCCCGGACCCAGGCGCCCGCCGGAGGACCCAAACUCUUGUCUUCAUGAGUAUCUUCUGAGUAAUACAAGCAAAUAAAUUAAAACUUUCAACAACGGAUCUCUUGGUUCUGGCAUCGAUGAAGAACGCAGCGAAAUGCGAUAAGUAAUGUGAAUUGCAGAAUUCCGUGAAUCAUCGAAUCUUUGAACGCACAUUGCGCCCGCCAGUAUUCUGGCGGGCAUGCCUGUUCGAGCGUCAUUUCAACCCUCAAGCCCCCGGGCUUGGUGUUGGGGAUCGGCCGCCCUCCGGCGCGCCGGCCCCGAAAUCUAGUGGCGGUCUCGCUGUAGCCUCCUCUGCGUAGUAAUACACCUCGCACCGGAACGCAGCCUGGCCACGCCGUUAAACCCCCCACUUCUGAAGGUUGACCUCGGAUCAGGUAGGAAUACCCGCUGAACUUAAGCAUAUCAAUAAGCGG
rnacentral:rRNA from 1 species